UGAGGAAUUUUGCGCAAUGGGGGAAACCCUGACGCAGCGACGCCGCGUGGAGGAUGAAGGCCUUCGGGUCGUAAACUCCUGUCAGAGGUGAAGAAUGCCCGCAAGGGUUUGACGGUAACCUCAGAGGAAGCCCCGGCUAACUACGUGCCAGCAGCCGCGGUAAUACGUAGGGGGCAAACGUUACUCGGAAUUACUGGGCGUAAAGGGUGCGUAGGCGGCUGGGAAAGUCAAGGAUGAAAUCCCGUGGCUCAACUGCGGAACGGUCCUUGAAACUACUCGGCUUGAGGAUAACCGAAGAGAACGGAAUUCCCGGUGGAGCGGUGAAAUGCGUAGAUAUCGGGAGGAACACCUGAGGCGAAAGCGGUUCUCUAGACUACUCCUGACGCUGAGGCACGAAAGCUAGGGGAGCA
rnacentral:rRNA from 1 species